AUUGAACGCUGGCGGCAGGCUUAACACAUGCAAGUCGAGCGGGGGGAGGUAGCUUGCUACCGGACCUAGCGGCGGACGGGUGAGUAAUGCUUAGGAAUCUGCCUAUUAGUGGGGGACAACAUCUCGAAAGGGAUGCUAAUACCGCAUACGUCCUACGGGAGAAAGCGGGGGAUCUCCGGACCUUGCGCUAAUAGAUGAGCCUAAGUCGGAUUAGCUAGUUGGUGGGGUAAAGGCCUACCAAGGCGACGAUCUGUAGCGGGUCUGAGAGGAUGAUCCGCCACACUGGGACUGAGACACGGCCCGGACUCCUACGGGAGGCAGCAGUGGGGAAUAUUGGACAAUGGGGGGAACCCUGAUCCAGCCAUGCCGCGUGUGUGAAGAAGGCCUUAUGGUUGUAAAGCACUUUAAGCGAGGAGGAGGCUACUCUAGUUAAUACCUAGGGAUAGUGGACGUUACUCGCAGAAUAAGCACCGGCUAACUCUGUGCCAGCAGCCGCCGUAA
rnacentral:rRNA from 1 species